UACGUAGGGUGCGAGCGUUGUCCGGAAUUAUUGGGCGUAAAGGGCUCGUAGGCGGUUUGUCACGUCGGGAGUGAAAAACACCGGGCUUAACUCGGUGCUUGCUUCCGAUACGGGCAGACUAGAGGCAUGCAGGGGAGAACGGAAUUCCUGGUGUAGCGGUGAAAUGACGCAGAUAUCAGGAGGAACACCGGUGGCGAAGGCGGUUCUCUGGGCAUUACCUGACGCUGAGGAGCGAAAGUGUGGGGAGCGAACAGG
rnacentral:rRNA from 1 species